UGAGUACGAGAUGCUACGGCAUCGAAGCAGUCUAUGUCAUACUUCCAAGAAAAGCUUGCACUGUCAUAAACAAAGAAUGCCUGUACCAUAACCGACACAGGUGGGUAGGUAGAGUAUACUAAGGGGCGCGAGAUAACUCUCUCUAAGGAACUCGGCAAAAUGACUCCGUAACUUCGGGAGAAGGAGUGCCUUAUUUCUAAGGUUGCAAUAACAAGAUCCAAGCAACUGUUUACCAAAAACACAGGUCUCCGCUAAGUCGUAAGACGAUGUAUGGGGGCUGACGCCUGCCCAGUGCCAGAAGGUUAAAGAAGUUGGUUAGCAUUAGCGAAGCUGAUAACUGAAGCCCUGGUGAACGGCGGCCGUAACAAUAACGGUCCUAAGGUAGCGAAAUUCCUUGUCGGGUAAGUUCCGACCCGCACGAAAGGCGUAAUGAUUUGGAUACUGUCUCGGAGAGGGGCUCGGUGAAAUAGACUUGUCUGUGAAGAUGCGGACUACCUGCACCUGGACAGAAAGACCCUAUGAAGCUUUACUGUAACUUGAGAUUGAAAUUGGACUUUAUUUGCGCAGUAUAGGUGGGAGGCGUUGAGAAUAAUCUUGCGGGAUUGUUGGAGCCAUCAGUGAGAUACCACUCUUGUAAUGUUAGAUUUCUAACUUUGUAUCAUUAUCUGGUCAAAGAACAGUUUCAGGCGGGCAGUUUGACUGGGGCGGUCGCCUCCCAAAGGGUAACGGAGGCGCACAAAGGUUUCCUCUGAACGGGUAGAAAUCGUAUCUAGAGUGUAAAGGCAUAAGGAAGCUUGACUGUGAGACCUACAAGUCGAGCAGGGACGAAAGUCGGUCUUAGUGAUCUGACGGUGCUGAGUGGAAAGGCCGUCACUCAACGGAUAAAAGUUACUCUAAGGAUAACAGGCUGAUCUCCCCCAAGAGUUCACAUCGACGGGGAGGUUUGGCACCUCGAUGUCGGCUCAUCGCAUCCUGGGGCGGUAGUCCGUCCCAAGGGUUGGGCUGUUCGCCCAUGAAAGCGGUACGCGAGCUGGGUUCAGAACGUCGUGAGACAGUUCGGUCCAUAUCCGGUGUAGGCGUUAGAAUAUUGAGAGGAGCCUUCUCUAGUACGAGAGGACCGAGAAGGACAUACCUCUGGUGUACCAGUUAUCGUGCCAACGGUAAACGCUGGGUAGCUAUGUAUGGAGUGGAUAACCGCUGAAAGCAUCUAAGUGGGAAGCCCACCUCAAGAUAAG
rnacentral:rRNA from 1 species